rnacentral:rRNA from 1 species
GGUAUUCCUACAUAGAUGGUGGGACCCACGGCAAAUGGGAUCAUAAAGUCUUCAAAAAAGAAUACAUACGACUGCAUUGCAUGUAGUAACGAAUGCGAUCAUACCAGCACUAAUGCACCAGAUCCCAUUUGAACUCCGCAGUUAAGCCUGCUUAGGCGAGAGUAGUAUUAGGAUGGGUGACCUCCAGGAAAGUCCUCGUGUUGCAUACCUCUUUUUU